AAUCAACGCUGGCGGCGUGCCUAACACAUGCAAGUCGAACGCGAAAGCCCCGCAAGGGUAAGUAGAGUGGCAAACGGGUGAGUAACACGUGGGUGACCUACCUUCGAGUGGGGAGUAACGUACCCGAACGGGACGCUAAUACCGCAUGACAUCCUGCGUUUGGAAACGCGGAGAUCAAAGCCGGGGAGUCGCAAGACCUGGCGCUUGGAGAGGGCCCGCGCCUGAUUAGCUAGUUGGUGGGGAACGGCUCACCAAGGCAACGAUCAGUAUCCGGCCUGAGAGGGCGGACGGACACACUGGGACUGAGACACGGCCCAGACUCCUACGGGAGGCAGCAGCGGGGAAUUGUUCGCAAUGGGCGCAAGCCUGACGACGC
rnacentral:rRNA from 1 species